AGAGUUUGAUCCUGGCUCAGAACGAACGCUGGCGGCGCGCUUAACACAUGCAAGUCGAACGCCCUGGGGCAACUCAGGGAGUGGCGAACGGGUGCGUAACACGUGGGUAAUCUGCCUCCGAGACUGGGAUAACUCGCCGAAAGGCGAGCUAAUACCGGGUAUGCUCACGACGGCGCGAGCCGAUGUGAGGAAAGUGGUGACACGCUCGGAGAUGAGCCCGCGGCCCAUCAGCUAGUUGGCGAGGUAAAGGCUCACCAAGGCGACGACGGGUAGCUGGUCUGAGAGGACGGCCAGCCACACUGGAACUGAGACACGGUCCAGACUCCUACGGGAGGCAGCAGUGGGGAAUCUUGCGCAAUGGGCGAAAGCCUGACGCAGCGACGCCGUGUGUGUGAUGAAGGUCUUCGGAUCGUAAAGCACUGUCGCCCGGGACAAAAGCCCCGCAAGGGGAUUGAUGGUACCGGGAGAGGAAGCACCGGCUAACUCUGUGCCAGCAGCCGCGGUAAUACAGAGGGUGCGAGCGUUGUUCGGAAUUAUUGGGCGUAAAGCGCAUGUAGGCGGGUCGUUAAGUCGCGUGUGAAAGCCCCAGGCUCAACCUGGGAAGUGCGCGCGAAACUGGGGACCUUGAGUGCUGGAGAGGGUGGCGGAAUUCCCGGUGUAGAGGUGAAAUUCGUAGAUAUCGGGAGGAACACCAGAGGCGAAGGCGGCCACCUGGACAGACACUGACGCUGAGACGCGAAAGCGUGGGGAGCAAACAGGAUUAGAUACCCUGGUAGUCCACGCUGUAAACGAUGAGUGCUAGCUGUGUCGGGUAUUGACCCCUGACGUGGCGACGCUAACGCAAUAAGCACUCCGCCUGGGAAGUACGGCCGCAAGGCUAAAACUCAAA
rnacentral:rRNA from 1 species